AAUGGAUGGCCCUCCCAUCUAAAGCCCUUGUUCUUUUCAAUAAUAUCUGUUUUGUUCCAAGUCACGUAUGGUCUGCCAACAAAAAAAGAAGUCUCAUCUCACAUAGAACAUGUACAUAUGGUAACACAAGAAGCCUUGAUGAAUUUUGAACCACUUGCCAAUAAAGAUAAAACCAAAAUGCAUAGAAACAAAAAUGUGAGGCCACACCUUGGAUCAACCAAAGGCCAGUUAUACACCUUCUAACACUUAAGACUAAAAAACAUGCCACAACAUGCUUCUACUUUGUUUACUCAACAUCAAACCCUUUCUCUUGCAGCUCCGAAAGGAUUUCAUUUCUCAUCCUAAUCCACAGCUUCAGAGCUUCUUGCUCGAACUUCUUGUCCUGCAACUCCUUCUGAUAAUUGUACGAGUCUUUAUCCGAUUCAAUGACACCUUUUGGACCUAUUGUCGUGCCGAUCAUGCCACCCUUGGCAACAAACUCCUUCAUCGCCUCCUCGUCGCCAGGUUUGCGAACCAUUGGGCUUAGGUGAGAUAACUGGUGAUGAUAUAUAUGUUCGAAGAAGGAAGGGGUAAAUUGGGUAUAUGCCCAACCAGUUAAUAAAGGAAUUAUUGGGUGUUUCAGGAAUUUUCUAGGUUGUGUAUUUAUAAGAUAAAAGUGAUUGCUUGUUGUAGUUAGGUUGUGGAUGGAUCUAUGUGAUAAUUUUUUUUUUAAAUGACAUAUAUAGAUAAUUAAGCGAUAAA